AGAGGUUGAUCCUGGCUCAGAUUGAACGCUGGCGGAAUGCUUUACACAUGCAAGUCGAGCGGCCGCGGGGCAACCCGCGGCGAGCGGCGAACGGGUGAGUAAUACAUCGGAACGUACCCUGUCGUGGGGGAUAACUAACCGAAAGGUUAGCUAAUACCGCAUACGACCUGAGGGUGAAAGCGGCAACGCGCGAUAGGAGCGGCCGAUGUCAGAUUAGCUAGUUGGUGAGGUAAAGGCUCACCAAGGCGACGAUCUGUAGCGGGUCUGAGAGGACGGCCCGCCACACUGGAACUGAGACACGGUCCAGACUCCUACGGGAGGCAGCAGUGGGGAAUUUUGGACAAUGGGCGCAAGCCUGAUCCAGCCAUUCCGCGUGAGUGAAGAAGGCCUUCGGGUUGUAAAGCUCUUUCGGCAGGAACGAUAAUGACGGUACCUGAAGAAGAAGCACCGGCUAACUACGUGCCAGCAGCCGCGGUAAUACGUAGGGUGCGAGCGUUAAUCGGAAUUACUGGGCGUAAAGCGUGCGCAGGCGGUUUUGUAAGACAGAUGUGAAAUCCCCGGGCUUAACCUGGGAACUGCGUUUGUGACUGCAAGACUUGAGUGCGGCAGAGGGGGGUGGAAUUCCACGUGUAGCAGUGAAAUGCGUAGAGAUGUGGAGGAACACCGAUGGCGAAGGCAGCCCCCUGGGUCGACACUGACGCUCAUGCACGAAAGCGUGGGUAGCAAACAGGAUUAGAUACCCUGGUAGUCCACGCCCUAAACGAUGCGAACUAGGUGUUGGAGAAGAGAUCUUUAGUACCGCAGCUAACGCGUGAAGUUCGCCGCCUGGGGAGUACGGUCGCAAGAUUAAA
rnacentral:rRNA from 1 species